rnacentral:misc_RNA from 1 species
GAUGAAGAACGUAGCGAAAUGCGAUACUUGGUGUGAAUUGCAGAAUCCCGUGAACCAUCGAGUCUUUGAACGCAAGUUGCGCCCGAAGCCAUUAGGCCGAGGGCACGCCUGCCUGGGCGUCACACGUCGUUGCCCCCCCAUCUACUCCUUCGGGAUUGGGGGGGCGGAUGAUGGCCUCCCGUGCGCCUCGUCGCGCGGUUGGCAUAAAUGCCAAGUCCUCGGCGACGCACGCCACGACAAUCGGUGGUUGCGAAACCUCGGUUGCCCGUCGUGUGCGGUCGUCGCGCAUCGAGGGCUCGAAAAAAUUGUCGGGCUCCGGCUCGGCUUUCAACGCGACCCCAGGUCAGGCGGGGUUACCCGCUGAAUUUAAGCAUAUCAAUAAGCGGAGGA